rnacentral:rRNA from 1 species
AUACGGAGGGUGCAAGCGUUAAUCGGAAUUACUGGGCGUAAAGCGCGCGUAGGCGGCUAAUUAAGUCAAAUGUGAAAUCCCCGAGCUUAACUUGGGAAUUGCAUUCGAUACUGGUUAGCUAGAGUGUGGGAGAGGAUGGUAGAAUUCCAGGUGUAGCGGUGAAAUGCGUAGAGAUCUGGAGGAAUACCGAUGGCGAAGGCAGCCAUCUGGCCUAACACUGACGCUGAGGUGCGAAAGCAUGGGGAGCAAACAGGAUUAGAUACCCGUGUAGUCC